AGAUCCAACGUGGUUGUUAAAAAAGAGCUCCAUACCCCUGAAUCCGAUCGCUCCUGCACUUAUCUUGAAUUUGACAUCUCUCACACUGGACUAUCAUACGAAACUGGGGAUCACGUCGGUGUCUACUGUGAAAAACU